AUGAAUGCUAGCGGCAGGCCUAAUACAUGCAAGUCGAGGGGCAGCAGGUGUAGCAAUACAUGCUGGCGACCGGCGCACGGGUGCGUAACACGUAUGUAAUCUACCUUAUACAGGGGGAUAGCCCGGAGAAAUCCGGAUUAACACCCCAUAGUAAUAUUGCUCGGCAUCGAGUGGUAUUUAAAACUCCGGUGGUAUAAGAUGAACAUGCGACUGAUUAGAUAGUUGGUGAGGUAACGGCUCACCAAGUCUGCGAUCAGUAGGGGUACUAAGAGGUUAUACCCCCACACUGGUACUGAGACACGGACCAGACUCCUACGGGAGGCAGCAGUAAGGAAUAUUGGACAAUGGAGGCAACUCUGAUCCAGCCAUGCCGCGUGAAGGAAGAAGGACCUAUGGUUUGUAAACUUCUUUUGUAGCAGAGAAAACCCUUGUUUGCGAACGAGGUUGAUAGUAUGCUAAGAAUAAGCAUCGGCUAACUUCGUGCCAGCAGCCGCGGUAAUACGAAGGAUGCGAGCGUUAUCCGGAUUUAUUGGGUUUAAAGGGUGCGUAGGCGGAUUAUUAAGUCAGUGGUGAAACUCCUAUCGCUAACGAUAGAAGUGCCAUUGAUACUGAUAGGCUUGAGUACAGAUUGAAGUUGGCGGAAUGUGUCAUGUAGCGGUGAAAUGCAUUAGAUAUGACACAGAACACCGAUUGCGUAAGGCAGCUCGACGAAACUGUAACUGACGCUGAUGACACGAAAGCGCGGGGAUCAAACAGGAUUAGAUACCCUGGUAGUCCACGCCCUAAACUAUGAUCACUCGAUGUGUGCGAUAUACAGCACGUAACCGUCAAGCGAAGCGAUAAGUAAUCCACCUGGGGAGUACGCCCGCAAGGGCUGAAACUCAAAGGAAUUGACGGGGGCCCGCACAAGCGGAGGAGCAUGUGGUUUAAUUCGAUGAUACGCGCGGAACCUUACCAGGGCUUGAAAGUUAGUGAAUGACGUAGAAAUAUGCCAGCCAGCAAUGGCACGAAACUAGGUGCUGCAUGGCUGUCGUCAGCUCGUGCCGUGAGGUGUUGGGUUAAGUCCCGCAACGAGCGCAACCCCCUAUCAUUAGUUGCUAACAGGUUAUGCUGAGGACUCUAGUGAGACUGCUUGCGUAAGCAAGAGGAAGGUGGGGAUGACGUCAAGUCAUCACGGCCCUUACGUCCUGGGCUACACACGUGCUACAAUGGCCGGUACAGAAGGCAGCUACACAGUAAUGUGAUGCUAAUCCCCAAAGCCGGUCUCAGUUCGGAUCGAGGUCUGCAACCCGACCUCGUGAAGCUGGAUUCGCUAGUAAUCGCAGAUCAGCCAUGCUGCGGUGAAUACGUUCCCGGGCCUUGUACACACCGCCCGUCAAGCGAUGGAAGUUGGGAGUACCUAAAGUCGGUAACCGCAAGGAGCCGCCUAGGGUAAAACCAAUGACUGGCGCU
rnacentral:rRNA from 1 species